UUUGCCCUAACCGGUCCAUCCGGUUACAUGUCCACGGUUCUCUUCUCUCUUCUCUUCCCUCUUUGAAGUUCGAACAGAAAGAAGUCAAAGAACUCGUUACGACGCUGACGCUGACGCUAACCCGGGUUUGUUCUUUUUCCCUCGUAUUCCCAAUUCUAGCAUCCAAAUCGUACAGUUGGAGGGGUUUUGAGGUUAAUUCAAAUGAGUUCAAUUAUAAACCUUGAGGAGGUUCCAGUUACACCCAUGAAACGUGAUCCUGCAUGGAAGCAUGUUCAGAUGUUUAAGAAUGGGAAGAAGGAGCAACUGAAGUGCAUAUAUUGCAAGAAGUUGUUCAAUGGUGGUGGCAUUUAUAGGGUUAAGGAACAUCUUGCUUGUAGGAAGGGCAAUGGAUCCAUUUGCAGUCUUGUUCCCAAGGAUGUUACGUUUCAUAUGCAGCAGAGCUUGGAAGAUAGUGAGACGAAGAAGAUUAAGAAAGGGAAGAAGCAGAAGCAGCAGAAGCAGCAGAAGAAGCAGAAGAUUGAGGAAGAGAUCAUGCCCUUGGUUUCAAAUCAGGUGGAUGAGAAUGAUGAGGUAGUGGAUGCUCAUGUUGGUGAGGGGAUGAGUAAAAAUGCUGCAACGAAGAAGAGGAAGAAGCAGAAGGCUGAAGAAGAAGAGACCAUGGUUUCAAAUCAGGUGUUUGAGAAUCAUGAGUUAGUGGUUGCUGGUGAGGGAAUUAGUAUAAAUGUAGUGGAUGCUCAUGUUGGUGAGGGGAUGAGUAAAAAUGCAGCAACGAAGAAGAGGAAGAAGCAGAAGGCUGAAGAAGAAGAGACCAUGGUUUCAAAUCAGGUGUUUGAGAAUCAUGAAUUAGUGGUUGCUGGUGGAGUAAUGAGUAUAAAUGUAGAAAUGACGAAGAACUCAACACCGAUGCACUCUACAGAUAUUGAUGCUGAUUCUGAAGCUGUUCUUGCGGUGGAGAAAAAUGCUUUGGGUCCCAAAGGGUUUGACAAUGACAUUAAGACAGCAAUAGGUCAGUUUUUGUAUUAUGUUGGUGCACCUUUUGAUGCUGUGAACUCAGUCUAUUUUAAACAGAUGGUGGAGGCAAUUUCUUCAAGGGGUUCGGGAUUUGAGUGUCCCUCGCAGCAUGAACUCCGCGGUUGGGUCCUGAAAUACUCUGUGGAAGAAAUGAAGAAUGAUGUAGAGAGGUGCAGGUUGAAAUGGGGGAGGACAGGCUGUUCUAUCUUGGUUGAUCAGUUGACUACAGAAGCCGGUAGAGUGCUGCUAAAUUUUUUUGCCUGUUUUCCCGAUGGAAUAAUCUGUUUGAAAACCUUUGACUCGACCGAGAUUUUUGUUCCUGCAAAGUGUUAUGAGUUGAUAAGACAAGUAGUAGAAGAAAUUGGAGUUGGACAUGUGCUGCAAGUGAUUACACCAGGUGAAGAACUAUAUGCUGUUGCUGGUAAGUGGCUAACUGAUACUUUUCCUACCCUUUUUUGGAGCCCUUCAGCAGCUUAUUGCAUUGAUCUUAUAUUUGAAGAUUUUGGAAAUAUUGAGUGGAUUAGUAUUGUGAUUGAACAAGCUAGAUCUAUAACUAGAUUUGUCUACAAUUGUAGUGCAGUCUUGAGUAUGGUUAGAAGGUAUACUUUAGGGACUGAUAUUGUUGAUCCUGCAUUCUCACACUUGUCAACAAACUUUUCCACAAUAAAACGAUUUGUUGAUCUCAAACACAAGUUACAGACCAUGAUCACAUCUCAAGAGUGGAUGGAUUGUCCAUACUCAAAGAAAGCAGAAGGUUUGGAAAUGUUAGAUAUCCUGAGUGAUAAAGUUUUUUGGUCCUCAUGUCAAAUGAUCGUUCGUCUAACAGCUCCUCUCUUGGGGGUCCUGAGAAUAGCUACUAGUGAGUUGAAACCUGCAAUGGGAUACAUUUAUGCUGGAAUUUACCGGGCAAAAGAAGCUAUUAAGAAAGCACUUGUUAAGAGGGAGGAUUAUAUGGUGUACUGGAAUAUUAUACAUAACAGAUGGGAAAGGUUGUGGAAUCAUCCCCUUCAUGCUGCUGGCUUCUACCUUAAUCCAAAGUUCUUCUAUAGUAUUCAUGGGGAUAUGCAAAGUGAGAUUCUCUCAAGGUUGUUUGAUUGUAUAGAGAGAUUAGUUCCUGAUACAAGAAUCCAAGAUAAAAUUGUCAAGGAGAUAACCUUAUACAAGACUGCUGCUGGAGAUUUCGGGAGAAAGAUGGCAAUCAGAGCUAGAAAUAAUCUGCUUCCUACUGAAUGGUGGUCAACAUAUGGAGGAGGCUGCCCCAACUUAUCCCGUUUAUCAAUUCGUAUUCUCAGUCAGACAUGCAGUUUGCCAAUGUACAAGAGAAACCAGAUGUCUUUCGAACAAAAAGUGAAUUCGGGGAAUUUUAUAGUAAGCCAACAUAUUAGCGAUCUUGCCUUUGUUCAGCACAACUUACAAUUAAGACAAAUGCUCACUAGCAAAGAACAAAAUUUGAGUGAUCCGUUAUCUUUCAAUAGCAUUGGCAUGGUUGAGGAGUGGAUCAGGCCAAGUGAUUUACUCUUUGAAGAGAAUGGGAGCUCAUAUUGGAUGGUACUUGACCCUUCUGUUAACUCGAUGCUCAUAAGGCCGUCAAAUGAUGAAGCUGAAGAAUUGGGCGAAGGGUUUGAUGAUCAUGAAAUUUUCAAUUAUGGGAAAUAGAUAGUGGAUGAUCCAGAGAGCCAUUGUUUUGGUCUGUAGAAUCCAUGCUGAUGAGGGACAAUAGAUAGUGGAUGAUCCUCGUUAUUGCCCAGCACAGAAAAUGCGUAUUGUUUACAUUUUCCAGUUGUUUUCCUGAUGCUAGUGGCUAAUUGCUAGGUGGACUUUUUGGGAAGAGGAGGAUGUCCCAAUUCUUGUUAGAUCUGUUACUUCUUGUACAGUUGCCUAUAUGUCUUUGGUAGUUUUGCAGCAUGUGUCACUCCAAUUUAGGCCAUUGAGAGACUUAUUCAUAGAUUGAAUGCGCUCAGAAUCGAACUGUGUCCUUGCCAUGAGGAAAGCUACUUCCGGAAAGUCUAUUUUGUGCUUUUUGCAUUCAAGUCUUUACUAAAGAGAAUGCUUCCAUUUUAUCUACGCCAUUUUGCUGCCAUCGACGAAGACUUCCUGCUUUCUUGUCAUCCUCAUUCUCAGAUCUUAGUAUGGUUUCUUAGGACAAAUUGAACUGAUAUUCGACAUCUCAGAACUUACAUAGAUUUUUAUUUAGGAGCGCGCUACACAUCCAUGUAACCAAGUUGGCCCAAUCCCAAAUAGAGUCACGCGCAUUAAUGAGAGUGAAAACACGCACCCACUCAUUAUGAAAAAAUGUUACUUCUUCUUCUUCUCUGCUUACGUUAUAGGCUUCACCGUUUUUCUCUGUUCGAGUUUUCUUUAUUGUUCUUCUUUUUCUCUACUCGCGUUUUUCGUUAUGGAUCUGGAUUGAUUUCAACGUAAUUAGCUUUGUGAUUCUUCUUCUUCGUUUUCUUUUUCGAUCUGGACUUUUGAAUUGAAACAAUGAAUGAAUCAACUUCAAAAUCAGUUGAAUGACUGCGAUUUGGAUUAUUCUUCCGAAACGCAUCACAAUAAUCUUAAACAUUGAACAAAGUAAAAGGAGGUCAUCGAACCGAACAACAUUCAUUUGGUGAACCGAAAUCACAAAGGUCACUAAACCGAACAAUGUACAUGUGGUGAAUAAAUGGUGAUCAACUUUCAAUCAACAAAAAUAGUAUUUUUCCAUGCAAAAGAAGUACUGAACAAAGUAACAACUAAUUUCAAAGUCCUAGUUAUACUAUCUACUGAAUUGAAGAAGAAGAACCUACGAGUGCAAAUUUGAAAGAAGGAGGAGGAGGAGGAAAAUGAGGAGAAAUACUAUUCUUGUUGAUUGAAAGUUGAUUACCAUUCAUUCACCACAUGUACAUUGUUCGGUUUGGUGGCCUUUGUGAUUUUGGUUUACCAAAUGAAUGUUGUUCGGUUCGGUGGCCUCCUUUUACUUUGUUCAAUGUUUAAGAUUAUUGUGAUAGCAUACAGUAAUCAUUCCCUAGCUGUCUCAACGUAAUAACCCCAUUCAAUUGAUUUGAAGUUGAAUUAUUCAUUGUUUCCAUUCAGAAGUGUAGAUCGAAGAAGAAGAAGAACGACGGAGCUUAUUACAUUGAAUUCAAUGCAGAUCAAUAAUGAAGAAUGCGAGCAGAGAAGAAAAACGCGAACAGAGAAAAACGACGAAUUUUAUUAGGUUGAAGAAGAAGAAGAAAGAAGAGGAGGAGGAGAAAUACUAUUCUUGUUGAUUGAAAGUUGAUCACUAUUUAUUCACCACAUGUACAUUGUUCGGUUCGGUGGUCUUUGUGAUUUCGGUUCACCAAAUGAAUGUUGUUCGGUUCAGUGGCCUCCUUUUACUUUGUUCAAUGUUUAAGAUUAUUGUGAUAGCAUGCAACAAUCAUUCCCUAGUUAUCUCAACGUAAUAACCUCAUUCAACUGAUUUGAAGUUGAAUCAUUCAUUGUUUCCAUUCAAAAUUGUAGAUCAAAGAAGAAGAAUGACAGAGCUUAUCACGUUGAAUUCAAUGCAGAUCAAUAAUGAAUAAUGCGAGCAGAGAAGAAAAACGCGAACAGAAGAGAACGACGAAUUUUAUUAGGUUGAAGAAGAAGAAGAAGAAGAAGGAAAAUGCAAUACGUUAUAUGAGGCACGUGUAUAACAAACGACUGUGGGGUGAGGAAACGUGUGUGUGGAGGAAGU